rnacentral:rRNA from 1 species
CAGCAGCCACGGGAAUACGAAGGGGGCUAGCGUUGCUCGGAAUCACUGGGCGUAAAGGGUGCGUAGGCGGGUCUUUAAGUCAGGGGUGAAAUCCUGGAGCUCAACUCCAGAACUGCCUUUGAUACUGAAGAUCUUGAGUUCGGGAGAGGUGAGUGGAACUGCGAGUGUAGAGGUGAAAUUCGUAGAUAUUCGCAAGAAUACCAGUGGCGAAGGCGGCUCACUGGCCCGAUACUGACGCUGAGGCACGAAAGCGUGGGGAGCAAACAGGAUUAGAUACCCCCGUAGUCCCUGUCUCUUAUAC